rnacentral:rRNA from 1 species
GACGAACGCUGGCGGCGUGCUUAACACAUGCAAGUCGAACGGAAAGGCCCAGCUUGCUGGGUGCCCGAGUGGCGAACGGGUGAGUAACACGUGGGUGAUCUGCCCCUAACUUCGGGAUAAGCUUGGGAAACUGGGUCUAAUACCGGAUAGGACAAUCGUUUAGUGUCGGUUGUGGAAAGUUUUUUCGGUUAGGGAUGAGCCCGCGGCCUAUCAGCUUGUUGGUGGGGUAAUGGCCUACCAAGGCGUCGACGGGUAGCCGGCCUGAGAGGGUGGACGGCCACAUUGGGACUGAGAUACGGCCCAGACUCCUACGGGAGGCAGCAGUGGGGAAUAUUGCACAAUGGGCGCAAGCCUGAUGCAGCGACGCCGCGUGGGGGAUGACGGCCUUCGGGUUGUAAACCUCUUUCGACAGGGACGAAGCUUUGGUGACGGUACCUGUAUAAGAAGCACCGGCUAACUACGUG